CAGUGUCAAUCAGGCUUUGGAGACGGUCAAUUGUGUGUCGCCCUAUCAAGAACGAAUAAUUUGCAUCGUACCAACGAAGUGGACCUUAACUAAUUGUCGCGAUUCAAAUCUCGUUCCGAUCUAACGAUGACUCGGACGCGACUGAAAAAUGGCGAAUAAUGGCGGCACUUUCGAAAGGACCAGUACUGUUUAGUCAAAAAUACAGAUGGCUCGUCCAGUAAAAAUUGACCUACAGGAACAAGAUAUACAUUGAAGCAAAGGAAGAAAGAAUAUUGUUAUUUGAAUUACAGAUUCAACGUCUCCAAAAUUCACUUUGCACAGAAUAAUCGAAUUUGUCGUAUAGAACAUCAGUUUCCAGUUUAUCCAGUUUCAUGCGAAUCCACAACAAACAACAUACUUUGAAGACAACCGAAACUCAGUCGAUAAUAUCAUGGGUAGUUUUUGGUGCAUAUCAUAUAGGUUUAACAAGAGAAAAGCUUAUUGCGUCAACGAGGAGGUAUUUAAGCACUAAUAGAACAAACAACAAAAUGAAUUACGAGUACAAUGAGUCUCUAACGAAUAGAUGCCCUCGUCAAGCUAACGAUGUAAGCACACGAUAAAUUUAAUCGUCUAACAUAGUUGUCGCUAAUAACGAGUUAAAUAGUCUGUUUCGAAAUGUAGAUCGCUUAAAAAUUGUUUCUGAUCAAAUUUGCCGAAUUAUUAAGCAAAUUAACUUGUCUUCGCUCAAAUAUUCAACCGACUCGUAUAACUUAACCCUAACUGUAGGGUGCAACGUAACGAUCGUACGAGGCGGUAAAUAGACGAACGCGUCGAUGGUAUAUUAUACGCGGAGACGAUAUAUUCCAUCGUGCACGCCUACGUGAUGUCAUGCGCGCGUCAGAAAUGCCGACCUUGCGGCUGCAGCUCAAGUCAGUGCACGCGUAAUGCGAUGCAUUUGUAUUGGCCAAGCCUUUCGGCCGAUCCCACCAUCGGUUUGCGCUGAUAAGCAUACCUACGCCUCGCAAACUUAUAUGCAUGGCUGAUCGUAUGCCUGGUAUGUAGGUAUAUGUGCGAAGUAACCGUACGAGGAAUCGUCAUUUCUCGGUGAUCGCGAAUGUUAUUGAAUGCGAUGUCGGGUGCAGAAUGGAUGAAAUCGAAAGAGAUUUUUCAGUCGAGAUCUUAAGAAUCUUUGAGCCAAGGUCCUUUCACUGAUUUCUAUUGAUGUACGAUAUUUAAUUUAUUUAUGAAGUAUGAACAACCGGCGUUAGUGUAGGUUAUGGU